AAGAAAAGGAAAAAAAAGAAAGUUGUUAGGACUGAAUGUGAAGCGCACAUGUACCUAUCCCACGAUGAUGCAUGGUGGACUGUUGACCGUUUCGAGGACACCCACAAUCACGCCCUGAUCAAAAAGCCGUCCCUAACAAAAUUCUUAUCAUCACAUCGAUACAUUACGAAGGAGGAGCAUGACUUCUUGAGGGUUCUGCACGGAUGCAACGUUGAGACUGCGAGGCAGAUGCAGCUGAUGUCAUGGUUCUACGGAAGCGCUAAAGACGUACCCUACACGACACAAGACAUUGCUAAUCAACGAGCUAAGUUCCGCUUAGAGCAUCGGCACAAGGACGUUGGGAGCACAAUUGCAUACUUCCAAGAGAUGAGGGCCAAAGAUUCAUAUUUCUACUGGAGAAUCAAACUUUCCAUUCUUGCAGACAACUGUAAGGAGCGAGGGAUUCAAUGUUGUGCUCAAGAAGUAUGUGAACCCCAACAACUCAUUGAUUGA
rnacentral:rRNA from 1 species